rnacentral:rRNA from 1 species
AACGAACGCUGGCGGCAGGCUUAACACAUGCAAGUCGAGCGCCCCGCAAGGGGAGCGGCAGACGGGUCAGUAACGCGUGGGAACGUACACAUGGGUGCGGAACAACUCCGGGAAACUGGUGCUAAUACCGGAUAAGCCCUAACGGGGAAAGAUUUAUCGCCGAACGAUCGGCCCGCGUCUGAUUAGCUAGUUGGUGAGGUAACGUCGCACCAAGGCGACGAUCAGUAGCUGGUCUGAGAGGAUGAUCAGCCACACUGGGACUGAGACACGGCCCCGACUCCUACGGGAGGCAGCAGUGGGGAAUAUUGGACAAUGGGCGCAAGCCUGAUCCAGCCAUGCCGCGUGAGUGAUGAAGGCCUUAGGGUUGUAAAGCUCUUUUGUCCGGGAAGAUAAUGACUGUACCGGAAGAAUAAGCCCCGGCUAACUUCGUG